rnacentral:rRNA from 1 species
AAGAAAGUAAGUAAGGGCGCAUGGCGAAUGCCUUGGCUCUCAGAGACGAUGAAGGACGUGAUAAGCUGCGAUAAGCUUCGGGGAGGUGCAAAUAACCUUUUAUCCGGAGAUUUCCGAAUGGGGAAACCCAGUACCAUGAAGUGGUAUUAUCCUGACUUGUCAGGAGGUCAACCCAGGGAACUGAAACAUCUAAGUACCUGGAGGAAUAGAAAACAAUAGUGAUUCCCUAAGUAGCGGCGAGCGAACGGGGACUAGCCCAAAUUUCGGUGGUUUCGGCCAUCGAUUGGUUGUAGGACUGCGUUGUGGACUAUAGAUUCGAAGUAGAAUUUUCUGGAAAGUUAAACCAUAGCAGGUGAUAGUCCUGUAUACGAAUCAAAUUUAUUACCUAGUAGUAUCCUGAGUAGCGCGGGACAUGUGAAAUCUUGUGUGAAUCUGCCAGAACCAUCUGGUAAGGCUAAAUACUCCUGAGAGACCGAUAGUGAACUAGUACCGUGAGGGAAAGGUGAAAAGUACUUCGAACAGAAGAGUGAAAUAGAUCCUGAAACCAUGCGCUUACAAGCGGUAGGAGUCCAGUACAUACUUGUAUGUAUAGGAUGACUGCGUGCCUUUUGCAUAAUGAACCUACGAGUUACUCCUCUCUAGCAAGGUUAAGUCAUUCAUUGACGGAGCCGAAGCGAAAGCAAGUCUGAAUAGGGCGCAUAGUUAGAGGGGGUAGACGCGAAACCCGGUGAUCUACCCAUGACCAGGAUGAAGUUCCAGUAACAUGGAAUGGAGGUCCGAACCAGUGUCCGUUGAAAAGGGCUUGGAUGAGUUGUGGGUAGGGGUGAAAGGCCAAUCAAACUGGGAAAUAUCUCGUACUCCCCGAAAUGUAUUUAGGUACAGCCUCAAGUUUAGUGUCAUAGAGGUAGAGCUACUGAUUGGGCUAGGGGGCUUCACCGCCUACCAAACCCUGACAAACUCCGAAUGCUAUGACAUAUACUUGGGAGUGAGGGCAUGGGUGCUAAGGUCCGUGUCCGAGAGGGUAACAAACCAGAUCAUCAGCUAAGGUCCCCAAAUUUAUACUAAGUUGAUCUAACGUGGUCUGAUUGCAUUGACAGCUAGGAUGUUGGCUUGGAAGCAGCCAUUCAUUUAAAGAGUGCGUAACAGCUCACUAGUCGAGCGAUCGGGCGUGGAUAAUAAUCGGGCAUAAGUAUAAUACCGAAGCUAUGGGAUUACAGAUUUAUCUGUAAUCGGUAGGGGAGCAUUGUAGUCGCACUGAAGGUGUUUCGUAAGAGAUGCUGGAGCAGCUACAAAAGAAAAUGUAGGUAUAAGUAACGAUAAUGCCGGCGAGAAACCGGCACACCUAUAGACUAAGGUUUCCUGAUCAACGCUAAUCGGAUCAGGGUUAGUCGGGUCCUAAGGCGAAUCCGAAUGGAGUAGUCGAUGGACAACAGGUUAAUAUUCCUGUACUAGCAUAUACUGCGAUGGGGUGACGGAGUAGUGAAAGAUCUGCGCACUGACGGAAUAGUGCGUUAAAGAGUGUAGGUAUACGGACAGUAGGUAAAUCCGCUGACCGUGCUGAACUUGAUAGUACCAUGAGCCUUCGGGCAAGUGGAUAUGAUCCUAAUCAUACUUCCUAGAAAAACCUCUAAGCUUCAGGUAUAUGCUACCCGUACCGCAAACCGACACAGGUAGUCAAGUAGAGAAUACUAAGGUGCUCGAGUGAAUCAUAGUUAAGGAACUCGGCAAAAUAGCCUCGUAACUUCGGGAGAAGAGGCCCCCACUUCGGUGGGGCGCAGUGAAUAGACCCAGGCGACUGUUUAUCAAAAACACAGGGCUUUGCCAAAUCGAAAGAUGAUGUAUAAGGCCUGACACCUGCCCGGUGCCGGAAGGUUAAGGAAGUUUGUUAUUCUUCGGAAGAAGCUCACGACUGAAGCCCCGGUAAACGGCGGCCGUAACUAUAACGGUCCUAAGGUAGCGAAAUUCCUUGUCGGGUAAGUUCCGACCUGCACGAAUGGUGUAACGAUCUGGGUACUGUCUCAACUAUGAGCUCGGUGAAAUUGUAGUAUCGGUGAAGAUGCCGAUUACCCGCAACGGGACGGAAAGACCCCGUGAACCUUCACUACAACUUAACAUUGACUCUGGAUAAAUAAUGUGUAGGAUAGGUGGGAGACUACGAAGCUGCGACGCUAGUCGUGGUGGAGUCGUCCUUGAAAUACCACCCUUUAUUUAUUCGCAGUCUAAUCCCUAACGGGAGACAUUGUUUGGUGGGUAGUUUGACUGGGGUGGUCGCCUCCAAAAGAGUAACGGAGGCUUUCAAAGGUACCCUCAGCACGGUUGGUAACCGUGCGCAGAGUGCAAUAGCAUAAGGGUGCUUGACUGUGAGACUGACAAGUCGAGCAGGGUCGAAAGACGGAUAUAGUGAUCCGGUGGUUCCGCAUGGAAGGGCCAUCGCUCAAAGGAUAAAAGGUACUCCGGGGAUAACAGGCUGAUCUCCCCCAAGAGCUCAUAUCGACGGGGAGGUUUGGCACCUCGAUGUCGGCUCGUCACAUCCUGGGGCUGGAGAAGGUCCCA